rnacentral:rRNA from 1 species
GACGAACGCUGGCGGCGUGCUUAACACAUGCAAGUCGAACGGAAAGGCCCUGCUUUUGUGGGGUGCUCGAGUGGCGAACGGGUGAGUAACACGUGAGUAACCUGCCCUUGACUUUGGGAUAACUUCAGGAAACUGGGGCUAAUACCCGAUAGGAGCUCCUGCUGCAUGGUGGGGGUUGGAAAGUUUCGGCGGUUGGGGAUGGACUCGCGGCUUAUCAGCUUGUUGGUGGGGUAGUGGCUUACCAAGGCUUUGACGGGUAGCCGGCCUGAGAGGGUGACCGGCCACAUUGGGACUGAGAUACGGCCCGGACUCCUACGGGAGGCAGCAGUGGGGAAUAUUGCACAAUGGGCGGAAGCCUGAUGCAGCAACGCCGCGUGCGGGAUGACGGCCUUCGGGUUGUAAACCGCUUUCGCCUGUGACGAAGCGUGAGUGACGGUAAUGGGUAAAGAAGCACCGGCUAACUACGUGCCAGCAGCCGCGGUGAUACGUAGGGUGCGAGCGUUGUCCGGAUUUAUUGGGCGUAAAGGGCUCGUAGGUGGUUGAUCGCGUCGGAAGUGUAAUCUUGGGGCUUAACCCUGAGCGUGCUUUCGAUACGGGUUGACUUGAGGAAGGUAGGGGAGAAUGGAAUUCCUGGUGGAGCGGUGGAAUGCGCAGAUAUCAGGAGGAACACCAGUGGCGAAGGCGGUUCUCUGGGCCUUUCCUGACGCUGAGGAGCGAAAGCGUGGGGAGCGAACAGGCUUAGAUACCCUGGUAGUCCACGCUGUAAACGGUGGGUACUAGGUGUGGGGUCCAUUCCACGGGUUCCGUGCCGUAGCUAACGCUUUAAGUACCCCGCCUGGGGAGUACGGCCGCAAGGCUAAAACUCAAAGGAAUUGACGGGGCCCCGCACAAGCGGCGGAGCAUGCGGAUUAAUUCGAUGCAACGCGUAGAACCUUACCUGGGUUUGACAUGGAUCGGGAGUGCUCAGAGAUGGGUGUGCCUCUUUUGGGGUCGGUUCACAGGUGGUGCAUGGCUGUCGUCAGCUCGUGUCGUGAGAUGUUGGGUUAAGUCCCGCAACGAGCGCAACCCUUGUUCACUGUUGCCAGCACGUUAUGGUGGGGACUCAGUGGAGACCGCCGGGGUCAACUCGGAGGAAGGUGGGGAUGACGUCAAGUCAUCACGCCCCUUAUGUCCAGGGCUUCACGCAUGCUACAAUGGCCGGUACAGAGAGUGGCGAGCCUGUGAGGGUGAGCGAAUCUCGGAAAGCCGGUCUCAGUUCGGAUUGGGGUCUGCAACUCGACCUCAUGAAGUCGGAGUCGCUAGUAAUCGCAGAUCAGCAACGCUGCGGUGAAUACGUUCCCGGG